UUUAGGCUCUAUUUUUUGUAACCAUAAACUAACAUUCCCAGAACAUUCUGAGAACCAGAAAUUGUUAGCUGGGAAGAUGUCUUCAGCAUGUUACCUCAAUUUACUGCCCUGAAUAAACAGAAAGUUUCAUAGGGUGGAGCUUUGUGAUAAUUGGUACAGCAGAAAACAGUUCAGAAUGAGUUACUGUAGCUCUUUGUGUUGCUCUAAACGUCAUUGUGUGUAUGAUCUCCUUCAGUCACAAAUAUGUUAUUUUACCUCACAGUUUUGGCACUUCUUACAGAAAGUGUCUUUGCAAAUCAAAUAAUAUCCCUGUCUACUGAAAGGCAUGCUUUAGAAGGAGAAAAGGUUACUCUUUCCUGCAAAUACAGUGCAGAUAAUAUUAAUAGUCUUCAGUGGUACAAGCAAUAUCCCAAAACUGCCCCAGAAUUUCUCCUAAUGACUUUUGAGAAUGUGGAUCCAGCACAGAAGGACCGUCAUGUUGCUGAAGCUCAUAAGGACAAGAAACAACUGGACCUGGAGAUCUCCAAAACUGAACUGACAGAUGCUGCAAUAUACUACUGUGCAGUGGUGCCCACAGUAACAGGAAAUCCUUCUACACUGUACAAAAACCUGAAUGGCAAUCACCUUUGACUAUUCUGUCUCUGAUCCUGGAGCAAUUACAACAGCUAAAAUAAAACACAAACUCCUGAUGUACAGUAAUAUAACGAUGUAAGAUGCAAUAUCAUGCCCUAUGUG